CGGUUCUUUCUCAGUCCGACCACACCCGGCACUGACACACCCACCGCCUGGAAAUCCCUGAGGAGCCGCUUGUGUGUGGAUGCUUGGAACUGUGCCUGUGUGUGUCUGUGUGUUAGUGUGUUGGCGUGGGGCAGACAGCUGGUAUAUGUAGCAUCUUUCUCUAGUUAACUCUGCUCUUGAACGGUGUGAUUUGGUGCAUUGCGCACUCCGGGAAGAGAGAGCUUGGAUUGUAAUCUCAACCUGCCCUCGCUCGCCCACCUAACCCCUCAGCUGAACUAGGAAAUGAGAAACCAAACUUGAAUUCUUGGUCAUCAUAUAUUUUUAGAUGGGAGUUUUGUAAAGUCAAAGGCUCUUCAUAGCCUGUUGUGAGAGUGUCCUUAGCAUAUCAUUUCAACACCAAGCCCCAAAACCAAGCUUACACAGGAUAACUAAAUAUCCUGCAUUCUUACUUUUUUAAUUAUUAUGACUAAACCCAUACGGCUUUAGCUAUUCCACAUUUUAAUCGCUUUGUAGGUUCUUUCUUGAUAGAGUUGAUGUGUGCGCGUACGUACGUGUGUGUGUGUGUGUAGAGGGGGCAGAGAGGGGGCAGAGAGAGGGCAGAGAGAGGGCAGAGAGAGGGCAGAGAGAGGGCAGAGAGAGGGCAGAGAGGGGGCAGAGAGAGGGCAGAGAGAGGGCAGAGAGAGGGCAGAGAGAGGGCAGAGAGAGGGCAGAGAGAGGGCAGAGAGAGGGCAGAGAGAGGGCAGAGAGAGGGCAGAAUGGGUGCGUUGUCUGGUUUGAAGAUGUGCAGUGAGUCCUUGUGGGGCUGGAAGAGAGCGUGUUACUGCAUCGUGUCAGAACUGUCUCAGUGGGUAGAAGAAAGUCUAAAUGCCCGGCAUUGAAAAAAAAACAGUUGAAUUAUCUGAAGGCUUUACUUGAUUUAAUGAAAAUUUUAAACAAUAUUUUGGCUGUUCAUGUGUCUGUUUUGUGUAAAAAGAAAAAAAAAAAGACAACAAACUAAAAAAGCACCACUUUUACCCCAUAUCAUGCUCUCACUGUCACCCUGAUAGGUGAUCAUACUGUAGGUCCAGCACACUAUGGACAACUUGCAAACAGAACCGUUUCAUCAAAUGUUACUGCUGUCAAAUCUAGUUUGUGGCCUCGUCUUGUGUGACACCCACUGAGGGUUCCACCUGUUGGGUGUUUUGCUGUGAAACCACAAACAUGUCAAGUACAGGAUGAGAAACAUCUACAUGCUCAGUUACAUACAUGUAGACUUUUUUCAACGACACAAGGUUUUCAGAUUGAGCAGUGGGAAAAUGUACCAAUGGAGCAACACUUGCUGCUAACGAAGUCUGUGUAGUGACUUAGUUCAUUAAAGUCAUCAUCAUGCUUAACACUAUGUUCUUUGGUGAGGUACUUUGGUAACAAUCUGGAAUCGAUGCAUUAAGAACAAGUUACUGCUUUCUUUUGCCGAGAGAUUAUUUACAGUACUUAAAUAUUUAGAGAAUAAACCUACAUGUCAGGUUUUUAUCCAUUCAUAUAUUUUCACAGAUGGUGAGGGGCAGACUGGAUUCCUUGAUUUAGUUGGUUUGUGAGCCUUAAUUUGAUGUGGUUUUAAAGUCUCAGAAAUAGCCAAAGCUUCUUUUGGUAUGAGAGAUGGAGUUGGAAGUCUUACAUUUAGGUGGUAUGAAGGAGUUCUCAGACUGGCUCUGUAUUCUUUAACGCUUCUUCUCAAACUUCCUGUACUACACCUGGUGCUGUGCGGUAUGUAGCCAGACUGUGACUUUCUGAUAUUCUAAUCAUCAACAACAAAACUAACACAGAAGUUAAAGUCGAGACUCACUGCUGUCUGGCCCCCAUGUUUCACAAAUAGUUUUAUCCGCGUGGUGGAUUUUUUCUUUUACAUUUGUUUUAUGACAGACUACAGUUACCAAGUUUAAACAUGCACCCUUCAAGGUCCUAUUUCAAUUUUAUUCACAAACAACCGUGAUGCUGCAUCUUCAGGCCAGACUGUUGGGCUGCAGUGAGCGGGCUGCAGUGAGCGGGCUGCAGUGAGCGGGCUGCAGUGAGCGGGCUGCAGUGAGCGGGCUGCAGUGAGCGGGCUGCAGGCUGCUCACUGCAGCCAAUGUCUCUGUUCUGCUCUCUAAGCUGUCACCAGCCUCAGUGGGGUUUGAGAGUGAUGAUGAUGUGAGGAAGAUGUUAUUUGAAGCAAGAUUGAGAUUAUUCCAUUUCAGAUUUUAACAAGUGCUAUGGGAACACCAAAGAUCCUGUGUAAAUGUUGACAACAAAAAAGGAAAUAAAAAUGGUAAAACUUGA